GGCGCUUUGGCGGAGUGGUUAACGCGGUGCCCUGCUAUUGUACGACUGUAUAAUACAGGGAGGCAUUUCCUUCGGGAGCGUAGGUUCGAAUCCUGCAGGCGUCG